GGGCUUCGUAUGUUGUGCUUACUGCAUUUUUUCUUACACAUGUGUUUUUCUUUUUUUGAAAACUUUGCUUUGGUAGGCCUUCUAUAUGGGGCCUGCCAGAGAUUAAACUCAACCAAAUUUUAUUUAAUGUCAACCGAUUAUUUAAUAGUCAAAACUUUCAACAACGGAUCUCUUGGUUCUCGCAUCGAUGAAGAACGCAGCGAAAUGCGAUAAGUAAUAUGAAUUGCAGAUAUUCGUGAAUCAUCGAAUCUUUGAACGCACAUUGCGCCCUUUGGUAUUCCAAAGGGCAUGCCUGUUUGAGCGUCAUUUCUCCCUCAAACCCUCGGGUUUGGUGUUGAGCGAUACGCUGGGUUUGCUUGAAAGAAAGGCGGAGUAUAAACUAAUGGAUAGGUUUUUUCCACUCAUUGGUACAAACUCCAAAACUUCUUCCAAAUUCGACCUCAAAUCAGGUAGGACUACCCGCUGAACUUAAGCAUAUCAAAAGCCCGGAGGAA
rnacentral:rRNA from 1 species